rnacentral:rRNA from 1 species
GUAGUUUGAUCCGUGGCUACGAGGACAACGCUGGCGGCGUGCCUAACACAUGCAAGUCGAGCGAUGAAGUUCCUUCGGGAACGGAUUAGCGGCGGACGGGUGAGUAACACGUGGGUAACCUGCCUUAUAGAGGGGGAUAGCCUUCCGAAAGGAAGAUUAAUACCGCAUAAAGUUGUUGAUUCGCAUGGAUCGAUAACCAAAGGAGCAAUCCGCUAUAAGAUGGACCCGCGGCGCAUUAGCUAGUUGGUGAGGUAACGGCUCACCAAGGCGACGAUGCGUAGCCGACCUGAGAGGGUGAUCGGCCACAUUGGGACUGAGACACGGCCCAGACUCCUACGGGAGGCAGCAGUGGGGAAUAUUGCACAAUGGGGGAAACCCUGAUGCAGCAACGCCGCGUGAGUGAUGAAGGCCUUCGGGUUGUAAAGCUCUGUCUUUGAGGACGAUAAUGACGGUACCCAAGGAGGAAGCCACGGCUAACUACGUG